rnacentral:rRNA from 1 species
UACGUAGGGUGCGAGCGUUGUCCGGAAUUAUUGGGCGUAAAGAGCUUGUAGGCGGUCUGUCGCGUCUGCUGUGAAAAUCCGGGGCUCAACCCCGGACUUGCAGUGGGUACGGGCAGACUAGAGUGUGGUAGGGGAGACUGGAAUUCCUGGUGUAGCGGUGAAAUGCGCAGAUAUCUGGAGGAACACCGGUGGCGAAGGCGGCAUCCUGGACCAAUUCUGACGCUGAGGAGCGAAAGCCAGGGGAGCAAACGGG